AAUUUAUCUAAUUCCUCAAUAUGCACUCUUACAAGCUCUAUCAACAAAAAUCAUCUGUAUAACAAAAUAAGCGAAUUCUGCUGCUACCCAAGAAAAAAAAAUAAAAAAGGGAAAGAAAUUGAAGGAGUGCAGAGGAGACUGCUGUAAAGCAUCGCAAACGAAGAGGUUUUGGUGCUGCCAUUUUAUAGUGAUGAUCAGUGAAAACCCUA
rnacentral:misc_RNA from 1 species